GAAUUCGCCCUUAGAGUUUGAUCCUGGCUCAGGACGAACGCUGGCGGCGCGCCUAACACAUGCAAGUCGAACGAGAGAGAGGGAGCUUGCUUCCUCAAUCGAGUGGCGAACGGGUGAGUAACGCGUGAGGAACCUGCCUCAAAGAGGGGGACAACAGUUGGAAACGACUGCUAAUACCGCAUAAGCCCACGGGUCGGCAUCGACCAGAGGGAAAAGGAGCAAUCCGCUUUGAGAUGGCCUCGCGUCCGAUUAGCUAGUUGGUGAGGUAAUGGCCCACCAAGGCAACGAUCGGUAGCCGGACUGAGAGGUUGAACGGCCACAUUGGGACUGAGACACGGCCCAGACUCCUACGGGAGGCAGCAGUGGGGAAUAUUGCACAAUGGGGGAAACCCUGAUGCAGCGACGCCGCGUGGAGGAAGAAGGUCUUCGGAUUGUAAACUCCUGUUGUUGAGGAAGAUGAUGACGGUACUCAACAAGGAAGUGACGGCUAACUACGUGCCAGCAGCCGCGGUAAAACGUAGGUCACAAGCGUUGUCCGGAAUUACUGGGUGUAAAGGGAGCGCAGGCGGGAAGACAAGUUGGAAGUGAAAUCUAUGGGCUCAACCCAUAAACUGCUUUCAAAACUGUUUUUCUUGAGUAGUGCAGAGGUAGGCGGAAUUCCCGGUGUAGCGGUGGAAUGCGUAGAUAUCGAGAGGAACACUCGUGGCGAAGGCGGGUUCCUGGACAUUAACUGACGCUGAGGCACGAAGGCCAGGGGAGCGAAAGGGAUUAGAUACCCCUGUAGUCCUGGCAGUAAACGGUG
rnacentral:rRNA from 1 species